GGAAUUUUCCGCAAUGGGCGAAAGCCUGACGGAGCAACGCCGCGUGAGGGAUGAAGGCCUCUGGGCUGUAAACCUCUUUUAUCGAGGAAGAAGAUCUGACGGUACUUGAUGAAUAAGCCACGGCUAAUUCCGUGCCAGCAGCCGCGGUAAUACGGGAGUGGCAAGCGUUAUCCGGAAUUAUUGGGCGUAAAGCGUCCGCAGGCGGCCCUUCAAGUCUGCUGUUAAAAAGUGGAGCUUAACUCCAUCAUGGCAGUGGAAACUGUUGGGCUUGAGUGUGGUAGGGGCAGAGGGAAUUCCCGGUGUAGCGGUGAAAUGCGUAGAUAUCGGGAAGAACACCAGUGGCGAAGGCGCUCUGCUGGGCCAUCACUGACGCUCAUGGACGAAAGCCAGGGGAGCGAAAGGGAUUAGAUACCCCUGUAGUC
rnacentral:rRNA from 1 species